AGCAGCCGCGGUAAUUCCAGCUCCAAUAGCGUAUAUUAAAGUUGUUGCAGUUAAAAAGCUCGUAGUUGAACCUUAGGCCCGUGCGGGCGGUCCGUCCUCAGGGCGAGCACUGCCUCGUCGCGGGUCUCACCUUCUGGCGAGCGUGGAUGCCAUUUAUUUGGUGUCUGCGGGAACCAGGACCUUUACCUUGAAAAAAUUAGAGUGCUCAAAGCGGGCUCAGACGCUUGAAUACAUUAGCAUGGAAUAAUGAAAUAGGACGAUGGUUCUAUUUUGUUGGUUUCCGGGACCGUCGUAAUGAUUAAUAGGGAUAGUUGGGGGCAUUCGUAUUCAAUUGUCAGAGGUGAAAUUCUUGGAUUUAUUGAAGACGAACUACUGCGAAAGCAUUUGCCAAGGAUGUUUUCAUUAAUCAAGAACGAAAGUUGGGGGAUCGAAGACGAUCAGAUACCGUCGUAGUACUCAAACCAUAAACUAUGCCGACUGGGAAUCGGGCAUGUUAUUUUUCGUGACUCGCUCGGCGACC
rnacentral:rRNA from 1 species